UACGAAGGAUCCAAGCGUUGUCCGGAUUUACUGGGUUUAAAGGGAGCGUAGGCGGUCUCAUAAGUCAGUGGUGAAAGCCUUCAGCUUAACUGAAGAAUUGCCAUUGAAACUGCGAGACUCGAGUAUGGUUGAGGUCGCUGGAAUAUAACAUGUAGCGGUGAAAUGCUUAGAUAUGUUAUAGAACACCAAUUGCGAAGGCAGGUGACUGAGCCAUAACUGACGCUGAGGCUCGAAAGCGUGGGGAGCAAACAGG
rnacentral:rRNA from 1 species